AGCCUCCUCCUGCAGCUGCUGCUGGAAUAGUGAAAGUGUUGGUUUGAACCUCAGAAGGAAACAGACUCAUAAGCUACCCAUAUAAAUGUAAUCUAUAAAACAAUGGUUUUCACCCAUGAUCCUUUAAAAUAUAUAUUUUUAAGCUCUAACUCUUGAGAUUCUGAUUCUCCAGGCAGGGCCCCACUUUGUAGAUUUUUAGCACACUCUGGAGGAUUCUAUGGUGGGACCAGAACAAGGACCCCAAUUUUCUAGCUCUUGACUGGAGCCUCCCCAUACCCUGCAUGAUCCCUAGACCAUGGUCCCGGCCGGAUGGGGAUCCCACAACCCCCGGGGCUGCAACCGCUUGCCUGUGGCAGCAGGGGCUUGGCCCUCUCCACCUUUCUUUCUAGCUCCUUUAUGUUGAGCUGGAUCUCAGACUUUUGAGUCUCUUGAAGUCGAACUUUUUCUUCUAAUUUGAUAUUUUUCUCCUUCAGCUCCUCAUCGAUUAUGCUAUGGCCAGAGACAGUAGAGAAAGGAAUGAACGAAGAACAGAAAGGAACGCUUUGGUGACCAACCCUCUGCUUUCACCCCACAACCACAGAACCGUGGCAUUGGAUGGGACCCCAGGAAUUAAAAGUCCCAGGUGGCAGGCCAGAGAGAAGAUAUGAGUUGCCUGAGGCUACCCCAAAGAGGAAGACAGAGCUCUUACCAGGGGGAGGCAGAGAUGGCACAGCAAGGGACAUGCCCCCAGAAUGGCACCACUGCCCCAGGACAGGCCCACCCAUGGGACCAGCAGAUGGAGAGGAUUCAAACCCAGAAUUCUUAACCAGUGCCUGGGAGAUCUUCCACAAUCUUAACAAUUACCCUCCACCACCCCUUGGGCCCUCUGUCCCCAGGAGCCUGGCCAGCCAAGACUCACAUCCUCAGGUCCCACAGUCCCCAAUCCCCUUCCAGCUGGAAACCUGUGCUAUAACCAGAGGAACCAGAAAUGGGCAAGAACACUCAGGGGACUGGGUCCUAAGACCAAAGACCAGUCUCGUGGCAGUAAUGACAGUUCCUAGAGGGACUGUGACAUCACUACAUUCCACUCCUCAGUGGAGUGGUGGGGAG
rnacentral:lncRNA from 1 species